rnacentral:rRNA from 1 species
AUUCCAGCUCCAAUAGCGUAUAUUAAAGUUGUUGCGGUAAAAAAGCUCGUAGUUGGAUUUCUGUUGAAGACGUCCGGUCCAUACCACGUAUGCGCAUCUGGCUCGGCUUCGGCAUCCUCUCGAAAGACGUUUCUGCGCUUGAUUGCGUGGAGCGGAUCUCGGGACUUUUACUUUGAGGAAAUUAGAGUGUUCACGGCAGGCUAUCGCCAGAAUACAUUAGCAUGGAAUAAUACUAUAGGAUCUCGGUUCUAUUUUGUUGGUUUCUAGAAUUGAGAUAAUGAUUAAUAGGGACAAUUGGGGGCAUUCGUAUCAACACGUUAGAGGUGAAAUUCUUGGAUCGUGUUGCGACGAACUACUGCGAAAGCAUUUGCCAAGGAUGUUUUCAUUGAUCAAGAACGAAAGUAAGGGGAUCGAAGACGAUUAGAUACCGUCGUAGUCUUUACCAUAAACUAUGCCAACUAGAGAUGGGACAUCGUUCACUUAAGACUUGUUCCGCACCUUAUGAGAUAUCAAAGUCUUUGGGUUCCGGGGGGAGUAUGGUCGCAAGUCUGAAACUUAAAGGAAUUGACGGAAGGGCACCACCAGGAGUGGAGCCUGCGGCUUAAUUUGACUCAACACGGGGAAACUCACCAGGUCCAGACAUAAUAAGGAUUGACAGAUUGAUAGCUCUUUCUUGAUUUUAUGGGUGGUGGUGCAUGGCCGUUCUUAGUUCGUGGAGUGAUUUGUCUGCUUAAUUGCGUUAACGAACGAGACCUUAACCUGCUAAAUAGGAGCGCCUAUCUCCGGAUAAGCGCCUUUCUUCUUAGAGGGACUUUAUGCGUUUCAGCAUGAGGAAGUUUGAGGCUAAA